CCGGAUUGUUCAGGCGGAAUAAUAAAACCUGCCAAUCCGGGCAAGGACAAAGGGAUGACUGAAACGAGACUCCGGGGGCGGGGGAGAGAGCCAGGCGGAGGAGCGGGCCGAGGCUGGAGCGGGGAAGGGCCGGUAUCAGGUGAUGGUUCUCUGAGAAUAUCCUGUAGACACCCAGAGGUUCCACACAGACCCACGUCACCAUCUGUGCCCCCAGAAAGGCCAGAUUAUUUGAUGCUGAUACGGCAACUUCCACAUCAAAAUGCCCUAGCUCUUGCUCAAGAAUAAACAAACAUUUAAACCUUUUAAAGGCAAUGUAAAAUUGUUUUUGAAGGCAGUCUUUUUAGAAAGCCCCGCCUUUUUUUUUAAUCUGCCUACCUUUAUUGCUCUCAUCAUAGAGAUCCCUUGAAAUCAAAAGAUUCAGUCAAAGUGAAUCUGAAAAGCUUGAGUCUGGGACGAUUUUAAAGUAUAAAAGGUGUGGCGAGAAGAAGAGGCAAUGAUAGUUACCGACAGAUGUCAUGAGGAAGACAGAAGGCAAAUGGCAUGUAGGUGGCUGCCAGUUUUCAUGGUGGUGGUGUUGGCUAGGGAGUGGGAAGGUAUUGCACAGUAGUAGAGACAGAGAGACUGCAGCAUUUCAGAAUAGGGAUUCCUCUACAUUGUGACACAAAUGAAUUUAUCUAUGAAACAGAAACAGGCUCACAGACAUAGAGAACAGUGCUGUGGUUGCCAAGAAAGAGAGGGUGGGGGGUUUGAAAUUAGCAGAUGCAAACUAUUCCAGUUGA